rnacentral:rRNA from 1 species
UACGAAGGGGACUAGCGUUGUUCGGAAUUACUGGGCGUAAAGCGCACGUAGGCGGAUUGCUAAGUCAGGGGUGAAAUCCCGGGGCUCAACCUCGGAACUGCCUUUGAUACUGACAAUCUCGAGUCCGAUAGAGGUGGGUGGAAUUCCUAGUGUAGAGGUGAAAUUCGUAGAUAUUAGGAAGAACACCGGUGGCGAAGGCGGCCCACUGGACCACUUCUGACGCUGAGACACGAAAGCGUGGGUAGCAAACAGG